CCGGUAGGGAAUUGUCCCUGGAUCCCGCGCUGAGCUUCCCUCCUGCGCCGGUGAGGAAUCGUCCCGGGAUCCCGCGCUGAGCUUCCCUCCUGCGCCGGUGAGGAAUCGUCCCGGGAUCCCGCGUUGAGCUUCCCUCCUGCGCCGGUGAGGAAUCGUCCCUGGAUCCCGCGCUGAGCUUCCCUCCUGCGCCGGUGAGGAAUUGUCCCGGGAUCCCGCGCUGAGCUUCCCUCCUGCGCCGGUAGGGAAUGGUCCCUGGAUCCCGCGCUGAGCUUCCCUCCUGCGCCGAUAAUAUAAUGCUCUGAUGUAUGAGAAGGAAAAGAGGAAAGAGCAGAGGAUGCAUCCAGGAGAACAAGGACUGGAUUUCCUGGAGUAAGAAGCCUUGUCGCUGAAUAGCAUUACAUUCACACAGAAUGGAUUGUUUUUGUUUCCUCCAGAGGUGAGGAAAGGAAACCUCUGCCAUGGUGCAGAGUCAAACGAUGCUUCCCACUGACAGUAGACUGCUGCAAGUAACUACAGUGUUCCAUCCUUUCUGUUCUCCUCUCUGUGAUUACUGAUUUUGUUGUAUGAGAAGUCCUGUACUUUCAAAACUUCAGUCACUUGUAUUAAAUAAAACUAAAAGGCUGGUCUGGCUGAGAACAGAAAUUCUGUCAGAGCUGCCUGAAGUGUCACAUUUCACUGUAAUCUCAUAUAGGACUUGGUAAAAUCUGUAGGUUUAACUAUCUGUGACUGUUACCAAGUUAUUUUAAUGGUGUAAAUUUAAUUUGGGAAGUGUUCAUUUGGUUUCAGAGAAUUUGAGAAGAGAAUGACUCUUUUACCUUCAAUUUAUUUUGCUUCCCCUUUUUACACAGCUUCCUAAAAACACUUGUAACAGACCUCCUGUGUUAUCUGUGUUGCUGAACACAUCUGCAUGAGAAAUGCCUUUCAAGAUGUAUU